CUACGGGCGGCAGCAGUGGGGAAUAUUGGACAAUGGAGGAAACUCUGAUCCAGCAAUUCCGCGUGGAUGAAGAAGGCUUUCGGGUUGUAAAGUCCUUUCAGCAGGGAAGAAGCAAGUGACGGUACCUGCAGAAGAAGCACCGGCUAAUUACGUGCCAGCAGCCGCGGUAAGACGUAAGGUGCAAGCGUUAUCCGGAUUUACUGGGCUUAAAGGGCAUCUAGGCGGCUAAAUAAGUCAGAGGUGAAAAGUCUGGGCUCAACCGAGGCCUUGCCUUUGAAACUGUUUAGCUAGAGUACGGGAGAGGAGGGCGGAACUACAAGUGUAGCGGUGAAAUGCGUAGAUAUUUGUAGGAAUGCCGAUGACGAAGGUAGCUCUCUGGACCGCUACUGACGCUGAAGUGCGAAAGCUAGGGGAGCGAACAGGAUUAGAUACCCCCGUAGUC
rnacentral:rRNA from 1 species